CCUGAACGCUGGCGGCGUGGCUAAGACAUGCAAGUCGCACGGAUGUAGCAAUACAUUAGUGGCGAACGGGUGAGUAAUGAAUCGCUAAUGUGCCCCGGACUCUGAGAUAGCUAACCGAAAGGUUGGGUAAUAUCAGAUGAUAUAACUUUGUCGCAUGACAGAGUUCUCAAAGGUCCGCCGGUCUGGGAGCAGGCGAUUUCGUAUCAGCUUGUUGGUGAGGUAAUGGCUCACCAAGGCGACGACGCGUAGCCGGACUGAGAGGUUGGCCGGCCACAUUGGGGACUGAGACACUGCCCAGACUCCUACGGGGGGCUGCAGUAACGAAUCUUCCGCAAUGCACGAAAGUGUGACGGAGCGACGCCGCGUGUAGGACGAAGCCCUUCGGGGUGUAAACUACUGUCG
rnacentral:rRNA from 1 species